AGGCAGCAGUAGGGAAUCUUCCACAAUGGGCGCAAGCCUGAUGGAGCAACACCGCGUGAGUGAAGAAGGGUUUCGGCUCGUAAAGCUCUGUUGUUAAAGAAGAACACGUAUGAGAGUAACUGUUCAUACGUUGACGGUAUUUAACCAGAAAGUCACGGCUAACUACGUGCCAGCAGCCGCGGUAAUACGUAGGUGGCAAGCGUUAUCCGGAUUUAUUGGGCGUAAAGAGAGUGCAGGCGGUUUUCUAAGUCUGAUGUGAAAGCCUUCGGCUUAACCGGAGAAGUGCAUCGGAAACUGGAUAACUUGAGUGCAGAAGAGGGUAGUGGAACUCCAUGUGUAGCGGUGGAAUGCGCAGAUAUAUGGAAGAACACCAGUGGCGAAGGCGGCUACCUGGUCUGCAACUGACGCUGAGACUCGAAAGCAUGGGUAGCGAACAGGAUUAGAUACCCUGGUAG
rnacentral:rRNA from 1 species